rnacentral:misc_RNA from 1 species
AACUUGUUAUCUUUCUUUGAAAGUGUGUGUUAUUCCAGAAUAUUGGGAAAUAUAAAUGCAAAUGAUAAAGUUUCACAGCUGUUACAUGCACCUUUAUUUUAUUGAUAGCAUGGAUUGAACUAUUUGUAUACUUUUUCUCUAAUCGUGUGAGGCCUAGGAUUACGGGAUUUACAACAAAUUCCAACGAAAAAAGAUCAGACCUAGGACAGUGUUUCUCUAAUGUGUAUAGAAUCUAUAGUGAUUUUCACAUCAUAUCGAAUUUAUUAUCUUUAUGCAAAUAAGAAAUAAUUUAAAAUCAAUAAUUACCUUCAACAUAUUAAAACGUUUUUCAUAUGAAAAGAAAAUAUUUUGAUAUUAUUGCCUAUCUACAUUUUUGCUUUUAGGUGGAUAGUCGAGCUCUGGUAGCCAUAGCAACGGAAGUGCGUCAGGCAGCCCAGGCUUCUUAAUGAAUUGGAUCAUCUCGAGGCCACGCGAACACGUCUAAAACUAUGUCCAUUUUUGCAAACUUAAUUAUAUUUUUUGUUGACAAUAUUAAUUCUUAUAUGUACUACAUGACUGUUCAUGAAUAAAUCAAUCGUACUUUU